UGGAACCCAGUCCACCCACUGGGGAGCCAGGCCCUCCCACUGGGGAGCCAGGCCCACCCACUUGGAACCCAGUCCACCCACUUGGAACCCAGUCCACCCACUGAGGAGCCAGGCCCACCCACUUGGAACCCAGUCCACCCAACCAUUAUGUUAGCUUCAGGAACCUCUUCUUUUUUAAAUUUUAUUUUUACUAAAGAUGAAACUGAAUAUGUUGUACUGUACAGAGCAUUAUGGGUACUGUAGUACAUCAUACUACAAUGAGGAGGAGGGGAGGGAAAAGAGGCGUGUCAGGAAGUCAUUUAAAUAAUAACCGCCAAACUGUAUCGUUGUCGGUCACUAACAUUCACCGUACAGGGGGGUUAGAGGUCCCCUAGUGUUACUGUCCACAGAGGGGAUUGUGUUGUAUGUGUUGAGCCAGGUGUUGUUGAAUCAGUGGACACCUCCAUGGUUGGACUAUGGCUGGUCUCCUUCACCAGAACUGACAUGCAGCAGAGGUUGUCUGUCCACAACAUCCUGAAGAGAGACUCAGUAAUCGUAGACGUUGUCCAGCCACACAAACACAUCCAUUUUAGUGUUCAUCCGUGUAUAAAUGUCAAUACAGUCAUUUCUUUUAGAGUUAAAAAAACAAAAACACCCCGGUUUAUCAGGUGCAGAAAGGUACAGCAGCUUUUUGAGUUCUUUGUGUGAAUGACUCAGUGUCUAGAAUAGUAAUAGAAAUGUAGUUUAGUUACACGACCCCCCCCAUAUGUAACCAUUAUAUCAUUAACUGUCAGCAUUGUAGUGUGUAAUGUGUUACGUAUGUAUGCAAUACACUUGUGUGGGGGUCAGAAGGAUGCAAAGAGAAUGUAUUGAUGUAUAGUAAACUAUCCAUAUGUUGUACUUACAAUCCACGCUGCGAUUAAAUCCUUUUAAUAAAAAUAAUAUUCAAUACAAGGUG